GUCUGAUUGGUUAGAGCAGAUCCGCAAUAUUAUGUAUUGGCCGCAAGUAUUGGCUAGGUCGGACCUGCAUUGCACCAGUAGCGCUAGAUGGAAAUCCCAUAAAUGUAACAAAGUUAAAACCAAUACUAUUUAAGCCCAUUGUUUGUCCAAACGGCUCAGUUUGUUACAGAUGGAGAUUACAUUGUGGUCUACUAAAAGCUUUGGAAAUGUAAGUAUUUUGUGACAGCGGAGAGGACUACCGGGCUGACAAGUGCUGCUGAGAUUCUAUGCUGGGAGGUGCAAGACUUUCCAUUGGAUGAUACGCUACCUACUAGAAAAUCAUGUAUAAACUCAGCUUUGAAACAGAAGUCGAUGACAGCCUGACUGAAGAGAUGUCCUCAGAUACAGCAUGUCCAUGAUCUUUACCUCUUCAGUUGACUGAGACAUCACUGAAAGGUCAACCUCCGUAUCUGCCAAUGACUCCACCCUGCAGAGAGAGAGAGAGAGAGAUAUUCCACCUGUCUCUCUAUUCCCACUCUGUCAGUUGACCCAUCAAAUCUCAUUUCAGUGGUACACUGUGCAUUUGUCAUCAAUAAAAAAUUCUGAAUAUGAAAUGUCCAGAGCAUGGAAA